AACAAAUUGUAUCGAGUUGCACCGGCGCAGCCCAUCAAGACAGAUAGUGAAGCACAGAAAAAAAGAGGGACAGUGUUCAUCACUGUAGGAUGGACUGGCCCAUGGAUCUGCUCCCAUUUCCCCCCUGUGCUGAGCUGGGGGUCCGUCCUCUGAAUGGACUCCUGUGGACCCUGCUGCUCCUCUUCCUAUGGUAUUGUUACAGGGUGGGCUCUGACCCGCCAGCUCCAGGCCGAGCCAUCCCAGGUAAGCACAAGUCCGGCUCCAGGCGCUCUGUGUUGUCCCGCGCCGGCAGCUGUGCUGGAGCAGUGUGCAGUGCCACAUCAAAUGUGGCCACUGGCGAUCGGGGGACUCCCUGCAUCACCAUGGAGACGGGAGAGGAGGAGCAGGGGCAAGGAUACCUGACCCCUGUGCUGAGCCAUGCCCUGUUCCCACCCCAGGCCACAGCGAGUGGCAGGAAGCUGUAUGCAGCACUGCAGGAGUAUGCAAAACGCUACAGCUGGGCUGGCAUGGGACGCAUUCAUAAAGGACUCCGGGAGCAGGCCACAUUAAAUGAUCGCUCCUCCAUCCAAAAGCCUCAUCUCUUCUUCCUCCCAGAUGUCCCCAGCAUUCCUUUUUUCCCACGUGACGCCCAUCGACAUGACAUUGAGGUCUUGGAGGCCAACUAUCCCAUAAUCCUUGCAGAGUUUCAGGCGGUCUACCAGAGAGGCAUUGAUCCAAAGAUUGGCUGGACCGGCCUGGGACCUAAGGGCCAAGCCGUGUUCCCCUUGUACAGCGCAGGCGUGUGUGUAGCAGGGAACUGCCGCUCCUGUCCCUGCACCUACCGCACUCUUCUCUCCUUGCGCACCUUCAUAAGUAGCAACUCCCUGGGGGCCGCCGGGUUCUGGCUGCUAGGGCCUGGGGCCACACUAGGGGGAGUGUAUGGCCCCACCAAUACUCGCCUACGCUGCCACCUCGGAGUGCAGACCCCACCUCAGUGUGAGCUGGUAGUGGGAGGAGAGCCUCAGUGUUGGUCAGAGGGACACUGCCUCCUGGUGGAUGACUCCUUCCUGCACACUGUCUCCCAUAAGGGUCAGUCAACUCCACCUCCCACAACAAGGCAGUCACUCUCAAAACAAACUCAAGCUGUGCUCAGAUUCCAGUUCCCUUUCAGUCAGUCAACUUAGGUACAACAUACACUGCCUCCUGGUGGAUGACUCCUUCCUGCACACUGUCUCCCAUAAGGGGGUGGCAGAGGACGGGCCACGGGUGAUUUUCAGUGUGGACCUCUGGCAUCCAAAUGUGGCUGCAGCAGAAAGACAGGCCCUGGACUACAUUUUCUGCCCUGACCAAUGAACUACAACUUCCACUGUGCACAUGUUCUAGUUGUGCUCCACCCUUAUUUGAUAUGAGGGAAAGGUGCCCAAACUUCGUCUUGAGGGCUGUGCUCUUCAACCUCAAUGUUCAUCCAGUCCGAGUAUCACUGUGUGUGUUACCAGUGAAUCCACUGAAACAGUCCAAAUAGCCAAAGGGAGCUUACCCAUAGGAGUCAGUUCAAUGUCUAGUUUAGAUUUUUUUUUACAUGUUUUUUUUACACCUUUAUUUAACUAGGAAAGUCAG